CCUACGGGUGGCAGCAAUGGGGAAUAUUGGACAAUGGGGGGAACCCUGAUCCAGCCAUGCCGCGUGUGUGAAGAAGGCCCUCGGGUUGUAAAGCACUUUCAGUGAGGAAGAACGCCUGGUGGUUAAUACCCAUCAAGAAAGACAUCACUCACAGAAGAAGCACCGGCUAACUCCGUGCCAGCAGCCGCGGUAAUACGGAGGGUGCGAGCGUUAAUCGGAAUUACUGGGCGUAAAGCGCGCGUAGGUGGCUUGAUAAGCCGGUUGUGAAAGCCCCGGGCUCAACCUGGGAACGGCAUCCGGAACUGUCAAGCUAGAGUGCAGGAGAGGAAGGUAGAAUUCCCGGUGUAGCGGUGAAAUGCGUAGAGAUCGGGAGGAAUACCAGUGGCGAAGGCGGCCUUCUGGACUGACACUGACACUGAGGUGCGAAAGCGUGGGUAGCAAACAGGAUUAGAUACCCUAGUAGUC
rnacentral:rRNA from 1 species